ACUCAGCAGCCACACAGGGAAGACAGGCAGAGGGGCGGGAAGUACUGUAUUGACAGGUGCAGUGACCGAUCAGACAGCGGAGCCGCCUCACUGACAGCUCCUUUCGCCAAUCACCGAGCAAAGGAAAUGGGCCCCGGAGGCUGACGCACAGCGCUGACCUCUCCGCCAGCGAACGGAGAAGGACACUGGACAAACUGACAGGCGCGACGGCCAAUCGGAGGGGAGAGUCAGACGCCGGCUGAUGACGCGACCUCCAGCUCUGCGAGCAGGCUUGACAGAAGAACGCCUCCUCCUCCCCCUGUAACCCUAAACAAAGCUGCUGAUUGGUGCGGCCGGGCGGGCGGCACCCAAUAGACGCGGCUGGAGUGGGGUGCGGCGCGCUGGUUGGCCGCGGCGCUGUGAGGCGCCGGGCUGAGCCGUCCCGUGAGGCGGCUACUGAUGCGUGCGGGAGCGCUGCUCUGGGCCCUGCUCUUGGCCGAGGCGGCGCGGCACGAGCCAAGCGCAGCUCCCGGCCCGCGUGUGCGCAACUCCCCGGAGCACAGAGAGCCCCGCGGGAGGCGCUGCGCAGGGAGCGGGGCGGGAUCCCGUGCUCCGCUGCCGUGAGCUGCGUCGUCCUGCGGCCGCGGGCGCUCCCUCCAGGCCCGGCCUCAUUCACCCUCCAGCUGCUGCAGAAAAAGAGCGGAGCGUGACAGGCAGCGGUGCUGUUCCCCGGCCGCCCGGGGCACGAGGGAGGCAGGAAUCUUGCGGUCAAAAUGCGCUGUAGGUUCCCGUGCACACCAGGGAAUCCCGUUCAAGCCAUGCGUAGCAGUGCAGUGACAUGUCUCCUCGCUGCCCGGUCUGUUACAACCGUGCAUUAAAACUGUAUUGCAAACAUACAAGCGAAGGCUCAGGUGGAAUCUUCAGAAAGGCGAGGGCUGUUUUCCAGAGGCUCCCGACUGCGCGGAGGUUCGGCACGUGUUCAUAGGGACAAUGCAAGAUGUAUCCUUCAUGAAGGUUAAGUGCCCUGCCAGGCUUCCAGCCCCUGCUUCAAAGCAUGGUAGUGCCACAGCUUCACACUGAAUUCUUGCAAGUUUUUUUUAAAGUGGAUCAGUGGAUUCUUCCUCCGUGGGACUGUCUCUCCACCUGGGGAUCAAUCCACUACUGUAAUGAUCUGAUCCAAAGACCAUUGGGAUCAAGAGGAGAAACUCACUCUCUGAUUUUUGUAGACAUUGGUCAGCCCCUUGUACCUGCUUUUUCACAUUUCCUGGCAUUCUUAUUUUUCCUUUCAUUUAUCUAACAACAGGGUGCAUAUUUUUACACAGUAUAUAGAAUUCUGAGCUACUUGCAGAAGAAUAUAUUUGAUAUUUUAUUUAAUAGUCUACUGAUUUCUGCAUUGUUUUCUGGGAGGGCAGGGUGUUGUUGGUUUGU